AGGAGCUAUAGAAAGUACCCAAG
rnacentral:piRNA from 1 species